rnacentral:rRNA from 1 species
GCUGGCGGCACGCCUAACACAUGCAAGUCGAACGCAGUAGCAAUACUGAGUGGCAAACGGGUGAGUAAUAUGUGGGAAUCUGCCUUUUGGUUCGGAAUAACACGGGGAAACUUGUGCUAAUACCGAAUAAGCCCUUACGGGGAAAGUUUUAAUGCCGAAAGAUGAGCCCGCACUUGAUUAGCUAGUUGGUAAGGUAAAAGCUUACCAAGGCAACGAUCAAUAGCUGUUCUUAGAGGAAGACCAGCCACAUUGGGACUGAGACACGGCCCAGACUCCUACGGGAGGCAGCAGUGGGGAAUCUUGCACAAUGGGGGAAACCCUGAUGCAGCGAUGCCGCGUGAGUGAAGAAGGCCCUUGGGUUGUAAAACUCUUUCGUCGGGGAAGAAAAUGACUGUACCCGAAUAAGAAGGUCCGGCUAACUUCGUGCCAGCAGCCGCGGUAAUACGAAGGGACCUAGCGUAGUUCGGAAUUACUGGGCUUAAAGAGCUCGUAGGUGGUUAAAAAAGUUGAUGGUGAAAUCCCAAGGCUUAACCUUGGAACUGCCAUCAAAACUUUUUAGCUAGAGUGUGAUAGAGGUAAGUGGAAUUUCUAGUGUAGAGGUGAAAUUCGUAGAUAUUAGAAAGAACAUCAAAUGCGAAGGCAACUUACUGGGUCACUACUGACACUGAGGAGCGAAAGCAUGGGUAGCGAAGAGGAUUAGAUACCCUCGUAGUCCAUGCUGUAAACGAUGUGUGCUAGACGUUGGAAAUAUAUUUUUCAGUGUCGCAGCGAAAGCAUUAAGCACACCGCCUGGGGAGUACGACCGCAAGGUUAAAAC